rnacentral:rRNA from 1 species
UGCCAGCCGCCGCGGUAAUACGGAGGGAGCGAGCGUUAAUCGGAAUUACUGGGCGUAAAGCGCGCGUAGGCGGCUUUGUAAGUCGGAUGUGAAAGCCCUGGGCUCAACCUGGGAAUGGCAUUCGAUACUGCAGAGCUAGAGUAUGGUAGAGGGAAGUGGAAUUUCCGGUGUAGCGGUGAAAUGCGUAGAUAUCGGAAGGAACAUCAGUGGCGAAGGCGGCUCCCUGGCCAAAGACUGACGCUCAUGUGCGAAAGUGUGGGUAGCGAACAGGAUUAGAUA